AGAACUACGAGAUGACAAGACAACGUUAAAAUGUGAAACUUCUCCCUCCUAUCCAAAGUCCCUUCGGCUAGACAGGCUGCACACAGGCGUUGCAUACAGUUAGCCAAGAGGACUUCAGGGACAUGCGAAACUCAACAGGUGCCCAGGAUGGUCCUGUGAGCAAUCCCAGUAGCAGUGACCGCAGGCAGGACUCGCUCCACAGAGCCCCAAAGAAGAAGGGCAUCAAGUCCUCCAUUGGUCAUUCGUUUGGCAAAAAGGAAAAGGGUCGGCCUGGACAAACUGGCAAAGAAUCAGCAGGACAAGCUGGUGUUUCUGAGACAGAAAACUCAUCUCAGGAUGCCUGCAGACUUAGCAAAUUGGGAGGAAAGGCUGAAAAAAAUCGUAAACUACAAAAAAAGUAAG